rnacentral:rRNA from 1 species
CCUACGGGCGGCAGCAGUGGGGAAUAUUGCACAAUGGGGGAAACCCUGAUGCAGCGACGCCGCGUGAGUGAAGAAGUAUUUCUGUAUGUAAAGCUCUAGCAGCAGGGAAGAAAAUGACGGUACCUGAUUAAGACGCCCCGGUUAACUACGUGCCAGCCGCCGCGGUAAUACGGAGGGGGCAAGCGUUAUCCGGAUUUACUGGGUGGAACGGGAGCGUAGAGGGCAGCACAAGUUGGGAGUGAAAUGCCGGGGCUUAACCCCGGAACUGCUUUGGAAACUGUGCAGCUAGAGUGCAGGAGAGGUAAGUGGAAUUCCUAGUGUAGCGGUGAAAUGCGUAGAUAUUAGGAGGAACACCAGUGGCGAAGGCGGCUUACUGGACUGUAACUGACGUUGAGGCUCGAAAGCGUGGGGAGCAAACAGGAUUAGAUACCCUUGUAGUC